AUGCUUUUGUGUCUCAGGUCCAUCAGAUGCCCUGUUGCCUCCCUCUGCUUUCUUCAGCACAAAUUCCAAUAAUUCACGUGCCUUGCUGGUGGCUACGGCUCCGAUUAGACCCCUAGCCUGGGAACCUCCACCUGCUGUGGGAGCGGCCCAAGAAAUGGCAAAAAANAUCUUUAGGCCCAUCCAUAUUGCUGCAAAUGACAUUUCAUUCUUUUUAUGGCUGAGUAGUAUUCUAUUGUGUAUAUGUACAACAUAUUCUUUAUCCAUUCCUCUGUCAAUAGACAUUUAGGCUCUAUCCAUGCCUUGGCUAUUGUAAAUUGUGUUGCUAUGAAUAUAGGGGUGCUGGUAUCUUUUUGAAUUAUGUUCUUCUCGGGAUAUAUGCCCAAGAAUGGGAUCGAUGUAUGCUAGCUCUAUUUUCAGUUUUUUGGGGUUUUUGUUUGUUUGUUUGUUUUCUUUUUAGGGCAGCAUCUGCAGAAUAGGGAGGUUCCCAGGCUAGGGGUCAUAUUGGAGCUGUAGCUUCCAGCCUACACCACAGCCACAGCAACACCAGAUCCGAGCCACAUCUGCAACCUGUGCCACAUCUUGCGGCAAUGCCAGACACUCUGUUGGGUUCUUAACCUGCUGAGCCACAAUAGAAACUCCUAUUUUUAGUUUUUCAAGGAAACUCCGUACUUUUCUCCGUAGUGAUUGUACAAACUUACACUUCCACCAGCAGUGUAGAAGGGUUCCCUUUUCUCCAUACCCUCUCCAGCAUUUAUUGUUUGUAGACUUUUUGGUAAUUAAUGGUUAUUCUGACCAGUGUGAGGUGGUACCUCCUACUCUUGAUUUAAGACUCAACCAAAAGGAUCUCCUCCUGCUAAAACUUUUCCAGGUCACUGGGUGAGGAGGAGGGCUGGCCUCUGGGUGGGCAGCCAGAGAGGGUGCUGGAGCCUCAGGGUGCUGGCCCUCACUUCCCAUUGAGAGCACUGCGACAGUUCAGUUUUGAAACUUCCUUCUUUAAGAGUAUGCCAGAGGGAGUUCCCAUCGUGACUUAACAGAAAAGAAUCCAAGUAGUAUCUAUGAGGAUGCAGGUUCGAUCCCUGGCCUCACUCAGUGGGUUGGGGGUCUGGCGUUGCCAUGACCUGUAGUGUCGGUCACAGAUGCAGCUCAGAUCCUGAGUGGCUGUGGCUGUGGCUGUGGCCAGCAGCUAUAGCUCUGAUUCACCUCCCCUAACCUGGGAACUUCCAUAUGCUAUGGGUACAGCCCUAAAAAG
rnacentral:lncRNA from 1 species